rfam:Gossypium raimondii chromosome 7, whole genome shotgun sequence.
AUUCCGUGAUGAGGGCACUUUUGUAAUAAUUCUUUGUAUCUUUCUGAUACCUCAUACAAGGACUCAUCAUCCAUUUGUUGGAAAGAAAUGAUAUCGUUCCUUAACUU